GGUGGCGGGGCGCGCUGGAGCCUAUUCCAGCUAUCUUUGGGCAUGGGGCGGGGGAUACCCUGAACUGCUUGUCAGCCAAUCGCCUCUUAACACGCAAAAUCC